GGGAGCAUCAUGGAGGGGCUGGGGAGGGGGGAGAGCACCUCAUGAUGGAGGGGGGAGCGUCAUGGAGGGGUGGGGGAGCACCCCCCUCCCCAGCCCCUCCAUGAUGCUCCC